UAUAAAAUUUAUUCCGUUCUGCAAUUUAACAAUGAUUACAAAUUUAAUAAACAAACAGCUGUCAAAAAUCAUAUUGCUACACCUUUUCCAUACGGACCUUGAGACUUUGCACAACACAAAAAAAAAUAGUUGACAAACGGAAGAUAUACAAAUCGCUUUGUUUGGUGUAAUAUUUUCGUGCACUAAUUAUGAUUAGAAAUGAGUAGACCCGUGAAAAGAGAAGUAUCCGCCGAGGAAAAUUGUUUACAGAGCGCUGCUAAAGUGGACGAUGGAUUGCUUGAAGCUCGAUAUGAAUGUCCCAUCUGCUACUGCUGGCUGAACGAGCCCAUUCUCACCAAGUGUGGUCAUCGGUUCUGUCGGAAAUGCAUUACGGAUUGGUUGAAUGAGAAAAACUCCAACUGCCCGUUGGAUAACGAACCGCUCGACAUCAAGAGUGACAUCUUUCCGGACAACUGUACGCGCCGCGAAAUAUCGCAAAUCAAGAAACCGUGCCCAAAUUCAAUGCGAGGCUGUGUUGAUCAGUUUUCUCCCACCGAAAUUGACACGCAUCUGCGCCAGUGCCCAUUCGCCAUGUCCCGUCAGAGUCAACCGUGCCCUUUCGCACGGAUAAAGUGCAAGUUUAUUGCUGCGGAUGAAGCAGCGCUGAAUGCACACAUUGCUUCCGACUGCCAGCAGCAUUUACAGCUACUGCUGGAAACGUACACGGGAAGCAGUGAUCGGUAUAAAUUUUGGGAUCCACCGGCAAAGAACAGUGUGCCCGAGAUGAGCACAAACGAGCUGGUCCGAUCCAUGUACGAGCGUAUCGUAAUACUCGAGCAGGAGGUGCACAUUCUUGGCAUCAAACUGUCCAAGCAGGAGAUCCAACUAACCAAGAUCAACCAAGAGGUCGAUCCACGGUACAGUGGCGGCGUGUUGCUGUGGAAGCUGGAGGAUUUCUCCAACAAAAUCGAUUCCAUGCUAGCAAACAGUAAUUGCAUGUUUUACAGCGGCGAAGCGUACACUUCACCGCAUGGGUACAAAUUUUGCGCCCGCAUCAAUGUGUCACCGCGCACGAAAGACUCGAUCGGGCUGCACGUACACUUGAUGCAGUCGGAGAACGAUUACCAUCUCGAGUGGCCAUUCAAGGGUCGUAUCAAGAUAACGCUGCUGAACGUGCGGUCGCCCGAAUUAUCGCAGCACGAUACGAUCAUGUCGAAGCCGGAAAUUCUUGCAUUCCAUCGCCCUAACCAAGAGAUCAGUCCGCGCGGAUUUGGAUUUUUGGAGUUUGCUAAAAUUAAGGACAUUUUGGCAAAGUUUGCCGACAAUAAUACGGUGGUGAUUAAGAUACAGAUGAACAUUGUGUAAGAAGUUUUAUGGAACUGCGAGCAAAAUCGCACAACACACAUUCCACCAACAUACCAGUAUUAAGAUGAUAGUAUUUCCAAUUCCAAACUGUUUUGCUACAAAACAAAAGUCCCAAUUUUUGGCUAGCGAUGUGUAUGUCGAGAGAGUAUGAUUGUGUAUUCUUGUGCAUUGUCGUGCAUUGUCUUAGAACAUAGUUGCUUUAUAUGUGGGCCAACACGCCAUGCAGUAGGCCCGAAGAUCUGUAGGUUUAGUUAGGCAGGACAGCUUCACCAUAUAAUCGGUAGCUCAAAUUCUUAGUACUUAACGGCCGUGCCAAAAUGCAAUGAAAUGGUAUUAUUAUUCAUCCCCCCGCCCCCCGAAAAUGCUUCUCUACAAUAUUGGCCGGGAGUUGGCUGCAGUCUUUAAAAGUCUGUACUCGUUUGCUGUACGAUCAUUUUUACAAUUCUUAUCGGUAGCAUUCUUUAUCGUUCCCUUUUUCCUAAUUUGUCACCACCAUACCAUCGAAAUAUGGAACCAGCAAAAAAUAGACAGAACACAUAAAACAGACAUACCAAAAUGGUUCUAAACGCUUUUUUGUUAACAAAUUUAGAUGUUAAUAUACAAAGAAUACAGGAAUUUUAGAACGUGAUAAAGAAGGGCAAUGGUAAGAAUAAUAAAAGUGUAUUCCAACCCAGUGUAAACGAA